GGAAUAUUGGUCAAUGGGCGUGAGCCUGAACCAGCCAAGUAGCGUGCAGGAUGACGGCCCUAUGGGUUGUAAACUGCUUUUAUGCGGGGAUAAAGUGAGGGACGUGUCCCUUUUUGUAGGUACCGCAUGAAUAAGGACCGGCUAAUUCCGUGCCAGCAGCCGCGGUAAUACGGAAGGUCCGGGCGUUAUCCGGAUUUAUUGGGUUUAAAGGGAGCGCAGGCCGAUGGUUAAGCGUGACGUGAAAUGUAGCCGCUCAACGGCUGAACUGCGUCGCGAACUGGUUUUCUUGAGUGAGUACGACGUCAGCGGAAUUUGUGGUGUAGCGGUGAAAUGCUUAGAUAUCACGACGAACCCCGAUUGCGAAGGCAGCUGACGAGUCCUUAGCUGACGCUAAAGCUCGAACGUGCGGGUAUCGAACA
rnacentral:rRNA from 1 species